CCUUUUUUCUUUUUCCCCCACCUUCUUCUACCUCCAGCUCUCUCUCUCUCCUUCUUGAGCUGCAAGCCUGGGGAAGCCAAGCCCCAAGCCCACGUGCCGCCUCGGCCUGGCCUCCUCCUCCUCUCUGUGUCGCCAGCCCAAGCCACCGCCGACCGAGCCCGCGCCAGCCGCGCCGCAAGCCCACACGGCCGCCGCCAAAUCCCGCAAGCCGCGCCGCCAAAUUCGGAGCCGCCGCCUUUCCAAAGCUUGCGCAGUGCGCCCUAACCCUAGCUACUCCCUCCUCUAUAAAUACCGUCGGCCCCCGCCCCCUUUUCCCCCUUUUUUUCCAAAGCCGCCGCCAUCUCCACCGUGAGCAGCCGCCGCCGGGAGCCGCGCCGUUAUCGUCACCGUCUUCCUACCGCACCGCAGCCGCUGAUGUUGGAGCGGAAGAGCAGUUUGCUCCAGAAGACGCUGUGCAAGGACAAUACUGGGAUCAAG